rnacentral:rRNA from 1 species
CGAAAAGUCGUCUCAGUUCGGAUUGGAGUCUGCAACUCGACCCCAUGAAGCUGGAUUCGCUAGUAAUCGCGCAUCAGCCAUGGCGCGGUGAAUACGUUCCCGGGCCCUUGUACACACCGCCCCGUCAAGCCAUGGAAGCCGGGGGUGGCCUGAAGUGCGUGACCGCAAGGAGCGCCCUAAGGUAAAACCGGUGACUGGGGCUAAGUCGUAACAAGGUACC